AUUCAUUUAGCAAAAUACACAACAUAUUUAUAUUUUAUUGCAUCACAUUCACUGAUUCAAGCACACAUUCUAUACUCAAUAGGUGCCAGUACCAGAAGGUCGAUACCAGUACCAGAAGGUUUGAAGGGCGUGAGUUCGAACCAACCAACCACAAGGCUUAUCAGACUUUGGUUUUGAUGUUAAGAUCAUGUUCGAGUAUGUAUUGUCUAUGAUUUUCUCCGACCGUAAUUUCUUUGAUUAAACGUCCAAGAUCUUGAAAAAGGAUGUGAGGAAUUAGCCACGGCAAGAGGAGAAGGAACAUCUUCAGCUUUGGCUUUGGCCAGUGCAGUGGAAGAUGCUGGUGCCAAUAAUUCUGGUACAGAGAGUAAAGAAUGUUAAGAAUGUGUUAUUCAUAACUGAUCUUAUAUGUUUGUUAGUUAGUUUAAAUCAAUUGAAAGUUGGUUAAAACAGUUUUUAGGUAGUUAGUUAGUUAGCUAAACUACCAAGUUAGUUAGAAGUUAG